GCCAAAAUGAUUUCUGAAAAAAUGUAUGCUUCUUAUUUAUUAUAUUUUACCAGCAUAUAAUAAAUAUAUGCUGGUAAAAUAUAAUAAAUAUAAUGUAUAAGUAAAAUAUAAUAAAUAAGAAGCAUGCAUUUUUUCAGAAAUCAUUUUGGC
rnacentral:miRNA from 1 species